AAUGAACGUUGGCGGCGUGGAUUAGGCAUGCAAGUCGGACGGGCCGCGAGGCCAGUGGCGUAAGGGUGAGUAAGGCGACGGCAACCAACCCCGGAGUUGGCAAUAGCCGCGGGAAACUGCGGGUAAUAGCCAGCGACGCGGGCCCUUGACAUCGAGGGCCCGCCAAAGGUGCGAUUCCGCUCCGGGACGGGCCGUCGUGGUAUUAGGUUGUUGGCGGGGUAACGGCCCACCAAGCCUGCGAUGCCUACCGGGCGUGCGAGCGCGGCCCGGCACACUGGGACUGAGACACUGCCCAGACUCCUACGGGAGGCUGCAGUCGAGAAUCUUCGGCAAUGGGCGCAAGCCUGACCGAGCGACGCCGCGUGGAGGACGAAGGCCUU
rnacentral:rRNA from 1 species